rnacentral:rRNA from 1 species
GACGAACGCUGGCGGCGCGCUUAACACAUGCAAGUCGAGCGAAGCGGCGGCCGGGUGAGUAACACGUGAGUAACCUGCCUUAGACAUUGGGAUAGCCUCGGGAAACCGGGAUUAAUACCAAAUGGUCUAAGCUGGCCUCGCGUCCCAUUAGCUAGUUGGUGGGUAAAGGCCCACCAAGGCGACGAUGGGUAGCCGGCCUGAGUGGGGUAGCGGCAACAUUGUAACUGAGAAACGGUCCAAACUCUACGGGAGGCAGCAGUGGGGAAUAUUGCACAAUGGAGAGAACUCUGAUGCAGCGACGCCGCGUGAACGAAGAAGGCUUUCGAGUCGUAAAGUUCUUUUAUAUGGGAAGCGGUACCAUAAGAAAAAGCCCCGGCUAACUACGUGCCAGCAGCCGCGGUAAUUC